rnacentral:lncRNA from 1 species
GCAGAGUAGGAUACCUGUGAAACCUGUACAAACCAGUUAGCCAAUAAGAAAUCACUGAACGGAAAGGAAACAUUCGUAAUAAGGCAACAUUUGGUAUGGACAGGUUAAACAUGACAUCUGCUGAACAUGUUACUUUAUAGCAACCUGCACAGAGCUAUCUUCUAAUUAGAUAGGAAUUCUUCAUGUGAACCGCAAUCUUUUUAAGGCAAAAGGACAUCGAGGUGUAGGCCUUGUUUAGUUCCCAAAAAUUUUGAAAAUUUUUUUAGAUGGAGUAUUAAAUAUAGAUAGAAAAAAACUAAUUGCACAGUUUGACGAGACGAAUCUUCUGAGCCUAGUUAGAGCAACUCCAGCAGGUUCCCUACUCAAGCCCCAAUAGCUAAAUAUAGGUGUCUAGGCUAAAAACAUUACUCCAGCAGACCCUCCAGACCCCAUAUUUGGCUGGGCACCCAUAUUUUCCCUCAGACCCCAUUCUUGUUGGCCCAAGCCCCCAUCCUCCAUCGCGUGUCCUAGCCCUGUAUGACACCCUACCGUAACCGGAUUGAUGCUCUAAUUGUGUUCCUAUCCAAAGAAGAGAAAGAAAAAAAAGACAAUGACGAGUGGGUCCCUUAUGUCAUUCUCUCUGGAAUAGGUUUGGAGGCCCAAAUUUGGGUGGUAAUGUUGGAGUUGAAGCAAAAAAAAGUUGAGCCCUAAGAAGUAGGAGGAGCACCCAAAUUAAAAGUAGGGGUCUAGUUUUAAGGGCUGUGGAGUUGCUCUUAGUCCAUAAUUGGACAAUAUUUGUCAAAUACAAACGAAAGUGCUACUAUUCCUAUUUUGCAAAAUUUUUUAGAGGUAAACAAGGUUAACUAAAAAUCUUUUGCCUUUCUGUAGUGAGCACACGGCAUUUUUUAGUCAUCAUCAUUAUUUAGUUUUUGCAUCAGGUAUAUAGUCCAUAAUUGGACAAUAUUUAUCGAAUACAAACGAAAGUGCUACUAUUCCUAUUUUGCAAAAAUAUUUUGGAAGUAAACAAGAUUAACUAAAAAGCUUUUGCCUUUCUGUAGUGAGCACACGGCAUUUUUGACUCAUCAUCAUUAUUUAGUUUUUGCAUCAGGUAUGAGCAAGCAAAAUUACAUGUGCACAAAUUGGAAGCCUCUGUGAUAAGGCAGGUAUCCAUUCUAAGCUGCUGCAUUGCCUAUUUAUUUUGCAGGAUCGAAAUGUAACCAGAAAAUAUUUCAUCAUCAAACAAUGAUGUGUCAAUGCAUCACUACUAAAUACAUACACCGCAGUUUGGAUGAGUAUUAUUAUUCAGUAGGAGCACAAUAUUGUUUUUGCUUCCUUCAGUGUGAAACCGCAGUAAAGCAUACAUGAUAUUCCACGGUUCAUAUACCCAUUUAGGAGAUGAUAACUUUCAUACAUAGUAACAUAGUACUAGGAAGUAAAUAAAAUGGUGUGUACCUUU